GACGAACGCUGGCGGCGUGCCUAAUACAUGCAAGUCGAACGAACCGCGACUGAGUGCUUGCACUUGGUCAAGGUGAGUGGCGAACGGGUGAGUAACACGUGGGUAACCUACCUCAUAGUGGGGGAUAACAGUCGGAAACGACUGCUAAUACCGCAUAGGACAUGGAAUCACAUGAUUCUGUGAGGAAAGGUGGCGCAAGCUAUCGCUAAGAGAUGGACCCGCGGUGCAUUAGCUAGUUGGUAGGGUAAGGGCCUACCAAGGCGAUGAUGCAUAGCCGACCUGAGAGGGUGAUCGGCCACAUUGUGACUGAGACACGGCCCAAACUCCUACGAGAGGCAGCAGUAGGGAAUCUUCCGCAAUGGACGCAAGUCUGACGGAGCAACGCCGCGUGAGUGAAGAAGGUCUUCGGAUCGUAAAGCUCUGUUGUUAGAGGAGAACAGCGCAUAGAGUAACUGUUAUGCGUGUGACGGUAUCUAGCCAGAAAGCCACGGCUAACUACGUG
rnacentral:rRNA from 1 species